rnacentral:tRNA from 1 species
GGCGGUGUGGUUGAGCGGUAAAGCGCUUGGCUUCUGAACUGGAGUCCCAGGUUCAAAUCCUGGUGAAGACU